CUGCUUUUAGAUACAACGCCAUCUGCCAGCCCUGAGCCGCCUUUCGAUCUCCUACAGCCUCGGCUCUUCUCUAAUGCAGUGGUAAACAGCCUACCGAUGUAGAGUCAAAAUUAUGAGGGCGGGCAGUUGGUAUUGGCGAUGGCAGCCUCUGCUUGCGGUAGUUCAGUGCUCCAGGACAAUGUGGCAGAGCUGGAGAUGGGAAGAGCCGCGGGGCCAC